rnacentral:lncRNA from 1 species
UCAGGGAGCGAGAAUCGAACCCCUCCUGGAGCAUCCCCAUCUCUAGGUGGGGUAGCAGUGAUGAGUGAAGGUGAGACUGCAGCCAUUCUGAGGCCCAGAGGCCAUUGAGCUAGAGCUGUACUCUGAAUAUGGCUGUCACUGUCUUCUAGCUGUUUCUGCCUGGCAACUAGCCAAUAUCACCGUUCCUGGUGAUGCUGUCCCACGAUCCAGAUAAUAUGGCUGCCAAGGAUGGAAAGCAGUGAACUCUACCAAAGGAGAUGGGCUGUGGGGGGUGGUUGUUGGAAGGAAUGGAAUAGGAGUGGAUAUAAUAAAAAUACUCUCUAUACAUUCUAAAAUUUCAAAGAAUAACAAAAUGAAACUUUCUAUCUGCUUUAAGUACAGAGUGAAGAGCAGGA